CUGAUUUGUUGUAAUCCCUAAUUAAUUUUUUUUUUUUUAGUUAGGUCUUCUUGGUGUAACUUAAAAAAAGAAAAAAAAAAUAUAGCUUUGUUACGUACAACUAGCCUAAAUUAGAGUAAUUACCUAAGUCUUAGGAGAGCAUUAAGCUAUCAGUGCAGAUUUAGUUCCUAAUUUGUUGUAACCCUGAUUAGUUUUUUUUUUUUUUUUU
rnacentral:misc_RNA from 1 species